GCAGGUUGAAGCGCGGGUAAGACCGCGUGGAGGACCGAACCCACCUGGGUUGAAAACCGGGGGGAUGACCUGGGGCUAGGGGUGAAAGGCCAAUCAAAUUCCGUGAUAGCUGGUUCUCUCCGAAAUGCAUUUAGGUGCAGCGUCGGUUGAUUGCAUCGCGGGGGUAGAGCUACUGGAUGCUUGCGGGCCCGUGUCGGGUACCAAUAGCAGCCAAACUCCGAAUACCGUGGAUGUGUAUUCCGGCAGUGAGUCGGCGGGGGAUAAGCUCCGUCGUCGAGAGGGAGACAGCCCAGAUCGUCGUCUAAGGUCCCGAAGCGUGUGCUAAGUGGGAAAGGAUGUGGAGUCGCAUAGACAGCCAGGAGGUUGGCUCAGAAGCAGCCAUCCUUGAAAGAGUGCGUAACAGCUCACUGGUCUAGUGGUUCCGCGCCGACAAUGUAGCGGGGCUCAAGCACACCACCGAAGACGCGGCAGCGGCCUUUGUGGCCGUUGGGUAGGAGAGCGUCCCGCGUGGGGCGAAGCGGCCGGGGAACCGUGCCGUGGACCGCGCGGGAGUGAGAAUGCAGACAUGAGUAGCGAGAGACGGGUGAGGAUCCCGUCCGCUGGAUGACCAAGGGUUCCGGGGCCACGUUCGUCGUCCCCGGGUGAGUCGGGUCCUAAGGCGAGGCCGACAGGCGUAGUCGAAUGGAUGAACGGGUGGAUAUUCCCGUACCGGCGGCGUACCGUAAGAGCCGAACGGAUGAGUACUAACCUCCGGUCGCGUGGCGUCGUUCCCUUCGGGGUUCGGGGCGCGUGGCUGUUGGGAGCGUAGUCCUGGUAGGCUAGCGCACAGGGGUGACACGGAAUGGGAGCCGGCCGCGGAGGUGGUUUUCCGUGGUCAAGCACGCAGCCCGUCCCAUAGGCAAAUCCGUGGGACACAUAGGGUGAGGUGUGAUGAUGGGCGUCCUUUGGACGCGAUAUCCGGUGGUCCAGGCCGUCGAGAAAAGCCUCGGCGCGAGGGGCGUCGCCGCCCGUACCCCAAACCGACACUGGUGGUCAGGUAGAGAAUACCAAAGCGAUCGAGCGAAUCCUGGUCAAGGAACUCGGCAAAUCACUCCCGUGCCUUCGGUAUAAGGGAGACCCCCGGGCGUGAAGAGGCUUGCCCUCGGAGCGUUGGGGGGUGGCACAGACCAGGGGGUAGCGACUGUUUACCAAAAACACAGGUGCAUGCGAAGGCGCAAGCCGCUGUAUAUGCACUGACGCCUGCCCGGUGCCGGAAGGUUAAGAGGAUCCGUCAGCCCCUUUGGGGUGAAGCGGUGAAUUCAAGCCCCGGUAAACGGCGGUGGUAACUAUAACCAUCCUAAGGUAGCGAAAUUCCUUGUCGGGUAAGUUCCGACCUGCACGAAUGGCGUAACGA
rnacentral:rRNA from 1 species